rfam:Pseudomonas cichorii JBC1, complete genome.
GGUAGCCGGGCGUUGCAGCAGUCGAUCAUCGUAUGCUGCUGCAGCCCACCCCGGCUGCU